GGCCUCGACAGAUCGUCCACUCCAAGCUCUGAUCAGAUCUUCCUUCGUAGGAGUGCUAGCUCACAUCGAAGGCUCUGGAUGGCUGAUCCAAACUCCUUUCUUCGGAUCUUUCAGACUCCUCCAGAUCAAAAGAUAAAGCUUUACGAGGAGGUAGUGGUGUGAAAAAUUGGAGAAGACUCACUCUUGUAUUUUUCUUCUCACAAAACUUAGAGAUGAGACUCUAGAACCCACAGCUCACGCC
rnacentral:lncRNA from 1 species